rnacentral:rRNA from 1 species
AUUGAACGCUGGCGGCAUGCCUUACACAUGCAAGUCGAACGGCAGCGCGGGAGCAAUCCUGGCGGCGAGUGGCGAACGGGUGAGUAAUAUAUCGGAACGUGCCCAGUAGUGGGGGAUAGCCCGGCGAAAGCCGGAUUAAUACCGCAUGAGACCUGAGGGUGAAAGCGGGGGAUCGCAAGACCUCGCGCUACUGGAGCGGCCGAUAUCAGAUUAGCUAGUUGGUGGGGUAAAGGCCUACCAAGGCAACGAUCUGUAGUUGGUCUGAGAGGACGACCAGCCACACUGGGACUGAGACACGGCCCAGACUCCUACGGGAGGCAGCAGUGGGGAAUUUUGGACAAUGGGCGCAAGCCUGAUCCAGCAAUGCCGCGUGCAGGAAGAAGGGCCUUCGGGUUGUAAAGGCCCUGUGGGGGAGGAACGGAACGUGUGCGGGGGCGUAAGUACCCUCCGUGCUUGACGGUACGUCCUUUAGUCAAGCAUCGGCUAACUCUGUGCCAGCAGCCGCGG